rnacentral:tRNA from 1 species
CGGGGCAUGGCGCAGCCUGGUAGCGCAUCUGCUUUGGGAGCAGAGGGUCGGGUGUUCGAAUCACCCUGCCCCGACCA